CUCGAUUUUAGGAUAUUUCCUGAUGUCAGAAUAUAUUAAAAGAUAAAGGAAAAAAUGUGUGCCUUAGAAUUGAUGGGACAUCAUCUAUGUGCAUAUAGAUCUGUGUCUCUCUGUGGUCAAAAGUGUGACAAUCAAGGGCAAGAACCAUUUCUGUAUUGUUUACUCUGCAGGCCUAGCAACCAGCACAUUGUCUAGCACAUCGUCCAUGUUUAAUGAAUAACUACAUUUUCUUAAUUACUGGGGCAUGUUUUACCUGGGAAGUGAACAUCCGAUGCUACUGUAGCCCCAAAGCAAUUCUCCACAGAAGCUGAAAAGAAGUCUAAACACCUAUUUUAGCUUAUAGCAUUAUUGCCUUAGCAAAAUAAAAAUGCUCUUGGUGAAAAUCCA